GAUUCUUUAGUAUAAAUUAGUAUUUUUGACUUCCAAUCAAAGGGUCCCAAGGAUUA
rnacentral:tRNA from 1 species